AGAAGCUCUGACGUUCCUGGGUCUGUUCGGAGGACCGGACUCUGCGGGUUUAUUAUGUUUGUGUUUACUAACAGAAUUUAUUUACAGAUGUGUUGUUUAGCAAACAAGCAGCUGAUCGCGCGGAGAAGCAGCUUCACCUGCUGCCAGCUCAGGAUGUUGUUUCAGCUCACGGAAAAUCGAGCAUUUCACCCAAUCACCUGUCACCUUCCACCCGCACAGCCUGGCUGGAGGAGCAGAGACUUUCAUCUUUCUUCAGGAAGACUGAGGACUACAACCCAG